rnacentral:lncRNA from 1 species
GAAGUUUCCACGUGGGAAUGUGGGCUCAGGGCGGCCAGAGAGCCAAGAGUUUCAAGGGAAGCCAGAAACUCCUGCAUUUACAUGAAAUGUCUUGAUUUUGAAACCACUGCUGACCAAAAAUCCACAUCUUCCAUGUUCUUAGGUGGGAGACUGCUGUUUGAGGCCUCCAACCUGGGUCAAAAUGCUUGCAGUGGGUUUCAUGGAAUCCCAAGAUAUCUGGGAAAGCUGACUGGGGUUACAAGAGAGGAGUCUCAACUAAGAACGUCAAUGUUUGUUCUCGGGUUCAAAGAAGUCAGCGUCUUUGGCGGGAGCUGGGCCACCAUCGCCCGGACCACGCUGGGGUGCUAAGUGCUCACAUCCUCCCCAGCACUGUCCUCAACAGCCAAGAGGCAGGCACAGGGGAAAACCCACCAGCAACACCAGCACCACAGCGUCCACACCCGCCGAGGAUGCUGCACAAAAGGCCCAUGGACCAGGGUGCCUGGGGGCAGGGCAUGCUGGGCACCGUCCAUCUUCUGGCAGCUUCUGGUUAACCCGAAAAUCCUGUUUGGUUUUCCUGUGUCUUUUGAGAAUGUCACUCAAACCCCUGAAUCCUCUCUGUGAUCUAAGUGUCAUGAGGCCUGCAAAACCUCGCUUCCUGCAGCAGACUUCUCCGCUUCCUGGCCCCCAUGAAGACUGUUAUCCACAAGUAGCCAGAGGGAUUCUGUAAAAAUCAAAGUCAGGGCAGGGCCCUCCUCUGCUCAAAACCCUCCCAUGGCUCCCUACUUCACUCAGGGAGGAAGCCACGCCCAUAUUGUAGCCUCUUCCACCUCUCACACUCAUUGCACAGGCGGCCACCAAGCCCCUUUCUACCCCAGUGCCUUUGCACUUGCCACCCCCUUACUUCAUUGCAAUCCCUUCUUAGCAGAGAGGCUGACCCUGAAUUCCCUCCUGAAAUAGUGACCCUUCUCAAAUAAGUCUCCCCUCGCCUUGCCUUAUUUGUCUUCAUAUCUGUUCGUCACUACCUGACAUGUUAGAUAUUUAUUAUUUUCUCUCUUGCCGUUGGGCCUAAGUUCCCAGGGCCUCUCAUGUUUCUCCAGCGCCCAGAGGCUGACUGGCUUAUGGAGUGAGCGCAAUCAUUUCCUUUUGUGUGUGAAUAAAUGAAAGAAUCUUGGACCUGACCGCUUCAGACCAAGGGGUUUAGCCCAGGUCUCUGGGACAAUGAGGAUUCUUAAGGAUUUUUCACUGGGGAUUGACAGAACCAAUUGGUUUGGGAGAGAUCACUGCAGCUUCUGAAAGAAGCCACCUGUCCCAUGAGGGCAUGUGCCAUAUGGAAUACAGACAACUUGAUAUCAGUGCCCCCCUCCUCGGAGGGUGGGGGGAGGGGGGCGGGUGUUUCAGGAAUUAAAUCAGAAAAUAUUGGGAUGAGGCUUAGCCCUGUCCUUGGCGCACAGGAAGUACUCAGCCAGUGGUCAUGAUCAGCAUCAGCUGUAGCAUGAACGGACCAUGGAGACAGGUGGGCUUGC